rnacentral:ncRNA from 1 species
UGGGAAUGCCUCCUAUCCAUUAUAAUCGGAGGCACUCGGUCACCCUGUGGGCGGGAGGAAACUCCUUGCCUUAGACGCCUGUCGUCAAUGGGGUGGUGUGAGGAUGGGUUAGAUGCCUA